GAGAAUGUUAUCACGGGAGACACACGGCGGGUGCUAACGUCCGUCGUGAAGAGGGAAACAACCCAGACCGCCAGCUAAGGUCCCAAAGUCAUGGUUAAGUGGGAAACGAUGUGGGAAGGCCCAGACAGCCAGGAUGUUGGCUUAGAAGCAGCCAUCAUUUAAAGAAAGCGUAAUAGCUCACUGGUCGAGUCGGCCUGCGCGGAAGAUGUAACGGGGCUAAACCAUGCACCGAAGCUGCGGCAGCGAUGCUUAUGCGUUGUUGGGUAGGGGAGCGUUCUGUAAGCCUGCGAAGGUGUGCUGUGAGGCAUGCUGGAGGUAUCAGAAGUGCGAAUGCUGACAUAAGUAACGAUAAAGCGGGUGAAAAGCCCGCUCGCCGGAAGACCAAGGGUUCCUGUCCAACGUUAAUCGGGGCAGGGUGAGUCGACCCCUAAGGCGAGGCCGAAAGGCGUAGUCGAUGGGAAACAGGUUAAUAUUCCUGUACUUGGUGUUACUGCGAAGGGGGGACGGAGAAGGCUAUGUUGGCCGGGCGACGGUUGUCCCGGUUUAAGCGUGUAGGCUGGUUUUCCAGGCAAAUCCGGAAAAUCAAGGCUGAGGCGUGAUGACGAGGCACUACGGUGCUGAAGCAACAAAUGCCCUGCUUCCAGGAAAAGCCUCUAAGCAUCAGGUAACAUCAAAUCGUACCCCAAACCGACACAGGUGGUCAGGUAGAGAAUACCAAGGCGCUUGAGAGAACUCGGGUGAAGGAACUAGGCAAAAUGGUGCCGUAACUUCGGGAGAAGGCACGCUGAUAUGUAGGUGAAGUCCCUUGCGGAUGGAGCUGAAAUCAGUCGAAGAUACCAGCUGGCUGCAACUGUUUAUUAAAAACACAGCACUGUGCAAACACGAAAGUGGACGUAUACGGUGUGACGCCUGCCCGGUGCCGGAAGGUUAAUUGAUGGGGUCAGCGCAAGCGAAGCUCUUGAUCGAAGCCCCGGUAAACGGCGGCCGUAACUAUAACGGUCCUAAGGUAGCGAAAUUCCUUGUCGGGUAAGUUCCGACCUGCACGAAUGGCGUAAUGAUGGCCAGGCUGUCUCCACCCGAGACUCAGUGAAAUUGAACUCGCUGUGAAGAUGCAGUGUACCCGCGGCAAGACGGAAAGACCCCGUGAACCUUUACUAUAGCUUGACACUGAACAUUGAGCCUUGAUGUGUAGGAUAGGUGGGAGGCUUUGAAGUGUGGACGCCAGUCUGCAUGGAGCCGGCCUUGAAAUACCACCCUUUAAUGUUUGAUGUUCUAACGUGGACCCGUGAUCCGGGUUGCGGACAGUGUCUGGUGGGUAGUUUGACUGGGGCGGUCUCCUCCUAAAGAGUAACGGAGGAGCACGAAGGUUGGCUAAUCCUGGUCGGACAUCAGGAGGUUAGUGCAAUGGCAUAAGCCAGCUUGACUGCGAGCGUGACGGCGCGAGCAGGUGCGAAAGCAGGUCAUAGUGAUCCGGUGGUUCUGAAUGGAAGGGCCAUCGCUCAACGGAUAAAAGGUACUCCGGGGAUAACAGGCUGAUACCGCCCAAGAGUUCAUAUCGACGGCGGUGUUUGGCACCUCGAUGUCGGCUCAUCACAUCCUGGGGCUGAAGUAGGUCCCAAGGGUAUGGCUGUUCGCCAUUUAAAGUGGUACGCGAGCUGGGUUUAGAACGUCGUGAGACAGUUCGGUCC
rnacentral:rRNA from 2 species